GCAAGUGUGUGAUUUACGUAUGGUGCCCUAGGCUUGGGUGGCGGUGGCUGCAGUAAGGACAUGGCUGUGUCCAGGGACAGCAGCCGUCUGCCCUGGCCUCCCCCAACCUCCCGCUGACCGCGUCCUGACGGGCUGCUCUCCCUCGGCCUUCAGCCUACAAACAGUAGUACAAGUCUUACUCUGGGUGGGCAACUUCAGACGUAAUAUAUACGUACGGUUGUUCCUCUGACAGAAAGGCAUUUAUUUUCCCCUUCCUCCAAGUUUUCCAAACUUUGACAUGUGUUUUAUUUCCUAUCUGCAUAUUUUUUUUUCCCUCAAGAAGCAUGAGCUCCACAGGAACUCUGCCUCUGCUUUUUGCCUAGCUUACCUUGGAAUUUCCAAACUCGUGUUCUCUAAUUUCUAUUUUUUUUCUGUGUUCAAAAUCUGCGUAGUUAAUUCAACUUCCUCAACAGAGCUGCUACAUUCCCUCAGAUUUUCACACCUAAGAGAGGAUGGUGCUGCUGGAGCUGUGUUGUGGGAUGUUAAUCAGAUUGAAAACAAUUUUCAUGGUGAAAGGUUUCUUUUCUCCCUAACUUGGAGGGAUGAGCCAGUGAAAGAAGAAUUGAUGCAGAAGUAACAUAAGUCUGGUUUCAACAGCUCACAGAAUCUGCUCAGUGGCAACUUUCUAGCAAUGAGAAUUUAUGCUGCUUUGCCAUGCCCAUGCAUACAGCUGCAGUGAUAGUAAAUGGCUUGCUGCCAGCAUGCUUCUCUUUCCAACUUUUAUGGAAAAGAAAAAAAAAAGUGAAAAAGAGAAAAAAAGGAAACUGGAGCAACAUUUUGCUUUGUGAAACAAACAUAGAAGUUACAGCCUCUUAUUUAAAAUUAUCCACCUCAGAGAUCUGCAGAAUAUACUUCCUGGACCAGGUCAACAAACUUCCUACAAAACUCUGAGCAUGUCUGUACUGUGUAGUGGUGAACAGUAAAAUGGUCGUAAUGGGGAAUGCAGCUCCAUUUGGAUACACCAGCUCAAGUUCAUAAGCAAUGCCACUGCUCUGCUGUGCCAACAGUAUGCUUGCAUUGAUUUUUAUAUUGCCCUGGCUCCUACCAUGCCAAAUCUGAGCAACUAACUGCACCAGUGGAUAAAAGCAGGGCUUAUCUACCAUGUUGCAGGGGGUUUUCUGAGUUUGUCUAUGCUGAAUCUUAGCUUAUUAUUCCUGGGUCAAGCUCAUCAUGUAGCAUGAGCUGGCACUUCUGAUGCCAACUAACAAUCUUGGUUGUUUACUGAUAUGUGCUCAUAAUCUCUUAUUUACAAUAUGCUGUGAGGUUCUUGGGCGUUGAAAAACAGUACAUUUUUCCUUCUUUCUCUAGUUGUAAGUUGUGAAUCUAUGUACUCAGUGACAGGAGCACAGGUGAUAUGCUGAUGAUAUAUAAUUUAGCCUAAAAUGUACAAUAAGGUUAUUAAAUCACCAUUGUUGAUGAUUCAAAUAAUAGCCACAUACUUGUAUUUUAGACCUGAUUUGUCACAUGCAACUGUUUGGGAGAUUAUAACUUCAGAAGAUAAAAUAUUUAUAAAUAAAAUGCACAAAGUUAUGUAUUUUUAGAUUAAUUGAGAAGCUGGUAUGGGCAAUGAAAUGCCUCGGGACAGUUCUGGCCACAUAGUGUCACACCAGCACCAAAAGAGACUUUAGUGUGAAGGUAUAGAAAGAAAAUACACUAUUACCCAGAAUAGGGUAGGAUUUGAACUGUAGGCCUAUCAUGUAGGGAUCAAAAGGUGCUAUUGCUACAUGCAAGGUGGCAAAUAUAAAGAUAAAAUGUACCUGUACAACAAAGUAUAUCAGUGAUUUUUCCUCUUUAGUCAGAUCAGUGAGCGGAGUUCUGUACCCUUUCCAGAAUGCCUAAAAAAUAUAAGUUGGGAAAUCAGCCAGUGAGCCUGAAUGUGCACUCAACCAAGUCACCUUUGACAGAAGCGAGGACUGCAGAACCAUGACGUACUGUCUAAUUAAAGCCAAGUGCAGUUUUUCUUUGAACAAACUCUUCUAUCCUUUUUAAACUGGGUCAGAA